GAUAAGAUUAUACUUAAUGAUGAAAGAUUGAAUGCUUCUUCCCCAAGACUGGGAAUAAUACCAACAUGUCCAUUCUCACCAUGGGUAUUUGACAUUAUAAUGGAAGGUCUAGCUUGAGAAAUUAGGCAAGCAAAAGGAAGAAAACCCAUCUAGAUUGUAAAGGAAGAAGGAAAAUUAUCUCUAUUUGCAUAUGGCAUUAUCUUAUGGUCAAUGGCCACUCC